rnacentral:rRNA from 1 species
AGCGUGGAGACAGGUGGUGCAUGGCUGUCGUCAGCUCGUGUCGUGAGAUGUUGGGUUAAGUCCCGCAACGAGCGCAACCCUCACCCCUUGUUGCCACCGGGUCAUGCCGAGCACUCUAGGGGAACUGCCAGCGUUAAGCUGGAGGAAGGCGGGGAUGACGUCAAGUCAUCAUGCCCCUUACGCCCUGGGCUACACACGUGCUACAAUGGCCGGUACAAAGGGAUGCAAGACCGCGAGGUGGAGCUAACCCCAAAAAACUGGCCUAAGUUCAGAUUGCAGUCUGCAACUCGACUGCAUGAAGGAGGAAUCGCUAGUAAUCGCGUAUCAGCACGACGCGGUGAAUACGUUCCCGGGCCUUGUACACACCGCCCGUCACACCACGAAAGCCUGCUGUACUCGAAGUCGCUGAG